rnacentral:snRNA from 1 species
GGAUAUGAGGGAAUCUUGGCAGUGACAAUGUAAUCAACUGAUUUUUGAGAAUGGACUUAGCUGAUUUUGCUGGCUAGCCUGAUAUCCCUCUCCUCCCUCACCACUCCAUUUGCAUUUCUCCUGACAAUGUGUGUUCCUUCCUUGAUGGAUAAAGACAAUUCUUCCACCAAGUAUAUAAAGCAGUUGUGCUCCAAGUGAGCUUGUAAGAUUCAUGUUAUGGAGUGAUUCCUACACUAUACCUCCCCUUCCACACAACCAGGUAUGAAGCAGAACUUACCUUCCCAGCCU